UUUAUGGAGAGUUUGAUCCUGGCUCAGGAUGAACGCUGGCGGCGUGCCUAAUACAUGCAAGUCGAGCGAACAGAUGAGAAGCUUGCUUCUCUGAUGUUAGCGGCGGACGGGUGAGUAACACGUGGGUAACCUACCUAUAAGACUGGGAUAACUCCGGGAAACCGGGGCUAAUACCGGAUAAUAUUUUGAACCGCAUGGUUC
rnacentral:rRNA from 1 species